UACAGAGGGUGCGAGCGUUAAUCGGAAUUACUGGGCGUAAAGCGCACGUAGGCGGCUUGGUAUGUCGGGUGUGAAAGCCCCGGGCUCAACCUGGGAAUUGCAUUCGAGACUGAAUAGCUAGGGUACGGUAGAGGGAAGCGGAAUUUCCGGUGUAGCGGUGAAAUGCGUAGAUAUCGGAAGGAACAUCAGUGGCGAAAGCGGCUUCCUGGACCAGUACCGACGUUCAGGCACGAAAGCGUGGGGAGCAAACAGG
rnacentral:rRNA from 1 species